CAGCCGCCGCGGUAAUACCGGCGGCCCGAGUGGCGGUCACUAUUAUUGGGCUUAAAACGUCCGUAGCCGGGUUGGGAAGUCCUCCGGGAAAUCUGGCCGCUUAACGGUCAGAAUGCCGGAGGAUACUCCCAGCCUAGGGGGCGGGAGAGGCCGAGGGGAUUCCCGGAGUAGGGGUGAAAUCCUAUAAUCCCGGGAGGACCACCUGUGGCGAACGCGCUCGGCUGGAACGCGUCCGACGGUGAGGGACGAAGGCCAGGGGAGCAAACCGGAUUAGAUACCCGGGUAGUCCUGGCUGUAAACGAUGCGGACUUUGUGUCGGACAAGCUAUGAGCUUGUCCGGUGCCGGAGGGAAACCGUUAAGUCCGCCGCCUGGGGAGUACGGCCGCAAGGCUGAAACUUAAAGGAAUUGGCGGG
rnacentral:rRNA from 1 species